rnacentral:rRNA from 1 species
ACGGGUGAGGAACACGUGGGUAUCUGCCCAGAGGUGAGGAAUACCGGCGAGAAAUCGCCGACAAUACCGCAUAGGCUUCGCAAGAAGCAAAGUCGUAAGACGCCUUUGGAUGAGCCUGCGUCCGAUUAGUUAGUUGGUGGGGUAAAGGCCUACCAAGACGACGAUCGGUAGCUGGUCUGAGAGGACGAUCAGCCACACUGGGAUUGAGAACGGCCCAGACUCCUACGGGGGGCAGCAGUGAGGAAUUUUCGUCAAUGGUCGCAAGACUGAACGAGCAACGCCGCGUGCAGGAAGAAGGUUUUCGGAUCGUAAACUGCUUUUCUGUGGGAAGAGAACGGACGGUACCACAGGAAGAAGCCCCGGCUAACUACGUGCCAGCAGCCGCGGUAAUACGUAGGGGGCGAGCGUUGUCCGGAGUUACUGGGCGUAAAGGGCGUGCAGGCGGUGUGGUAAGUUUAGAGUGACAGUAUCCGGCUUAACUGGAUAAGGCCUCUGAAAACUGCCAGACUUGAGGGCCAGAGAGGGACAUAGAAUUCCGGGUGGAGUGGUGAAAUGCGUAGA